UGGGGAAUAUUGCGCAAUGGGCGAAGGCCUGGCGCAGCGACGCCGCGUGAGGGACGAAGGCCUUCGGGUUGUAAACCUCUUUCAGCAGGGAAGAAGCGAAAGUGACGGUACCUGCAGAAGAAGCACCGGCCAACUACGUGCCAGCAGCCGCGGUAAUACGUAGGGUGCAAGCGUUGUCCGGAAUUAUUGGGCGUAAAGAGCUCGUAGGCGGUCUGUCGCGUCGGCUGUGAAAAACUCGGGGCUCAACUCCGAGCUUGCAGUCGAUACGGGCAGGCUAGAGUUCGGCAGGGGAGACUGGAAUUCCUGGUGUAGCGGUGGAAUGCGCAGAUAUCAGGAGGAACACCGAUGGCGAAGGCAGGUCUCUGGGCCACUACUGGCGCUGAGAAGCGAAAGCAUGGGGAGCGAACAGGAUUAGAUACC
rnacentral:rRNA from 1 species